AACGAACGCUGGCGGCAUGCCUAACACAUGCAAGUCGAACGAGACCUUCGGGUCUAGUGGCGCACGGGUGCGUAACGCGUGGGAACCUGCCUUUAGGUUCGGAAUAACUCAGAGAAAUUUGAGCUAAUACCGGAUGAUGUCUUCGGACCAAAGAUUUAUCGCCUUUAGAUGGGUCCGCGUUGGAUUAGCUAGUUGGUGGGGUAAAGGCCUACCAAGGCGACGAUCCAUAGCUGGUCUGAGAGGAUGAUCAGCCACACUGGGACUGAGACACGGCCCAGACUCCUACGGGAGGCAGCAGUGGGGAAUAUUGGACAAUGGGCGAAAGCCUGAUCCAGCAAUGCCGCGUGAGUGAUGAAGGCCUUAGGGUUGUAAAGCUCUUUUACCCGAGAUGAUAAUGACAGUAUCGGGAGAAUAAGCUCCGGCUAACUCCGUG
rnacentral:rRNA from 1 species